rnacentral:lncRNA from 10 species
CCAGGAAUAUGAGUCAUCUGAAGAUUCCUGCUAAUGAGCAGAGCCCUGCACGAGGGUUGACAAGACUGAAGCCCAGAGUUCUUUGUCCAUGAAUGUUGGACAAGAAUGAGCAGUGCCUGCUUCUCUUAACUUCGAAUCUGCUUUAGCAGAAAGAGCUUAAUGGAAAAGCAUGCCCUGCACUUCUGUUUUCCAUGAGGAGCCAGAAGUCAUCAGCAAAGCUGCAGCCCAAGAUGAGAGAAGCCAUUCGCCUCCUGGGGCCUCCAUGGAGUGAAUGCCUUUAAGAUGACAAGAGCUGGGAUGUAGGAGGAAGGUCAUUUUGUUAUCAGUGGAUGCCUCACCUUAGAAAAGUCCCGUAAAACUGAGGAAGAUUGUGGGAGGUAUCCUUGGGGGUCAUCUAGACCAGCACUCCAGCCUGCCCCAAAUCUACAGAUCAAAAAAGCAAAGUCCAGAGAAGUAACGUCUCAAGGUCACAUAAGUCAGUCCCUAUCAACAACAGCACUAAAAUCAAGGCUUCCUAAAACCAGUCGGAUCAUUGUUCCAUUAUAGCAUAUGGUAAUUCUUGUUAGAUGGAAAACAGAAAUAUUUAGAAAGUCCUAGGAGGGUCUUAUUUCUUGAAUGGAAAGUGAAGAUUUGACAUUCUUUAAGACUGCUGGUCAACUCCAGACAAGCUGUAUUAAAU